rnacentral:rRNA from 1 species
AUUGAACGCUGGCGGCAGGCCUAACACAUGCAAGUCGAGCGAGAGGCGGACGGGGGAGAAAUGUAUGGGAAAAUGCAUGAUGGAGGGGGGUAAAAACAGGAAAAGGUAGCUAAUACAGCGUACCAUCAGAUGUGCGCAGAUGGGAUGAUCUCGUGGGUGGGGUAAAGGCUCACCUAGGCGACGAGCCCUAGCUGGUGUGAGAGGAUGACCAGCCACACUGGAACUGAGACACGGUCCAGACUCCUACGGGAGGCAGCAGUGGGGAAUAUUGCACAAUGGGCGCAAGCCUGAUGCAGCCAUGCCGCGUGUGUGAAGAAGGCCUUCGGGUUGUAAAGCACUUUCAUCGGGGAGGCGUUACCCGCAGAAGAAGCACCGGCUAACUCCGUGCCAGCAGCCGCGGUAAUAC